rnacentral:rRNA from 1 species
UACGGAGGGUGCAAGCGUUGUCCGGAAUCAUUGGGCGUAAAGGGUGCGUAGGCGGCGCGGUAAGUCGGGUGUGAAAUCUCGGGGCUUAACUCCGAAACUGCAUUCGAUACUGCCGUGCUUGAGGACUGGAGAGGAGACUGGAAUUUACGGUGUAGCGGUGAAAUGCGUAGAUAUCGUAAGGAAGACCAGUGGCGAAGGCGGGUCUCUGGACAGUUCCUGACGCUGAGGCACGAAGGCCAGGGGAGCAAACGGG